rfam:Lactobacillus delbrueckii subsp. bulgaricus ATCC 11842 complete genome
AGUAUGUUUGUCCACGGUAGGCCCCGGAAACUUAUUGUAUUCAAACUACGAA